rnacentral:lncRNA from 1 species
CCUAGGACGACCUAUGUGAUUGAAAUGAUCCACCUAAGAUGACUCCUGAGAUCCUGAGAUCAAAAUAGAAAGCUAAACUUUCUAUCUGGCCUAUUAAGACGCCCCAUGGGACGUCCCAAUGCCAGUGGGAUGCCCCGUGAGACGUUCCAUUCCUGCAAGCAUGCGUAACGGCUAGUUUUUAGCUUAUUUUUGGUGCAUUUAGUGCGCAUUAAAUAUUCUCCAAUAGUUCUAAACCAACUCUAAGAUAUUCUCAAAGGU